rnacentral:rRNA from 1 species
UAGGGAAUCUUGCGCAAUGGGCGAAAGCCUGACGCAGCGACGCCGCGUGAGCGAUGAAGGCCUUCGGGUCGUAAAGCUCUGUGGGGAGGGACAAAUAAGGUUUGGCUAACAUCCAAAUCGAUGACGGUACCUCCUUAGCAAGCACCGGCUAACUCUGUGCCAGCAGCCGCGGUAAGACAGAGGGUGCAAACGUUGUUCGGAAUUACUGGGCGUAAAGCGCGUGUAGGCGGCCGCGCAAGUCGGGCGUGAAAUCCCACGGCUCAACCGUGGAAGUGCACUCGAAACUGCGCAGCUGGAGUCCUGGAGAGGAAGGUGGAAUGCUUGGUGUAGAGGUGAAAUUCGUAGAUAUCAAGCGGAACACCGGUGGCGAAGGCGGCUUUCUGGACUGCACCUGACGCUGAGGCGCGAAAGCCAGGGGAGCAAA